AGCCCUAAGUGGGUGGUAAACUCCAUCUAAGGCUAAAUAUGACCACGAGACCGAUAGCGAACAAGUACCGUGAGGGAAAGUUGAAAAGCACUUUGAAGAGAGAGUUCAAGAGUACGUGAAACCGUUUAGGGGUAAACCUGAGAAACCCGAAAGGUCGAAGGGAGAAAUUCAUUCGCGUUUCGCCACGAGCCGCGGUAGUGUUGUGCGACGAUGGACGUUCGCGUCCGCCGCGCCUUCCGUCCGUGGAACUCGCGGCGAACGCGUGCACUUUUCUCCUGGUAGGACGUCGCGAUUCGUUGGGCGUCGGUCUACGGCUAGCGGUGGAGCCCGUUGGUCGCGUUCGCGCGCGUACCGGCGGACCCGCGUGUCCCGACCGACCCGCUCGACGGUAUACGAAAGGUUCAAGGCCGCUCUUGGAGCGUUCGGCUCGCUGCAAGCGCGCCAGAUGCGUCGGCGAUCGGACCCAGUGCCGAUCCCGACCUCUGGCGACUGUUGGCAGCGAAGUUCUCGAACAGACCUUUGGACCGAUCGGCGACGCUAUAGCUUUGGGUACUUUCAGGACCCGUCUU
rnacentral:rRNA from 1 species